UUCUUUAAGAUUUUAUUUAAAGUACAACCUGCUCAGUGUGUAAUAAAUAGCCGCAGUUUACUGUGCUAAGGUAGCAUAAUCAUUAGCUUUUUAAUUAAAAGAUAGAAUGAAAGGUUAAAUGAAUAUAAAUCGUUUCUAAAGUAACUAAAUUAAUUUAAAAUAAAAGUCAAAAUUCUUUUAAAUUUAAGAAAGACGAUAAGACCCUAAUAAACUUUAACAUUUAGCUGGGGCGGCAAAUUAAAUAAACCUUAAACAAUUUAAAAUUAAAACCUAAUAAAAUUAAUUUAAUAAAGUUACUAUAGGGAUAACAGCGCAAUCUUUUUUAAAAGUUCUUAUUCAAAAAAAGACUUACGACCUCGAUGUUGAAUUAAUAUUCUUUAUAUGAUGCAAAAAUCUUAAAAGAUAGUCUGUUCGACUAUUAAAAAAUU
rnacentral:rRNA from 1 species